GCUUAAAUAGUUUAAUAAAAAUAUUGAUUUGUGGCAUCAAAGUUAUAAUGUGUUAUUUUAGGUA
rnacentral:tRNA from 1 species